rnacentral:rRNA from 1 species
AAAACGACUCUCGACAACGGAUAUCUAGGCUCUCGCAUCGAUGAAGAACGUAGCGAAAUGCGAUACUUGGUGUGAAUUGCAGAAUCCCGCGAAUCAUCGAGUUUUUGAACGCAAGUUGCGCUCGAAGCCAUUCGGCCGAGGGCACGUCUGCCUGGGUGUCACGC